UAAUACGAACCGUCCAAACGUUAUUCGGAAUUAUUGGGCUUAAAGGGUGCGUAGGCGGUGCGGUCAGUUGGGUGUGAAAUCCCUCGGCUCAACCGAGGAACUGCGCCCAAUACUGCCGUACUCGAGGGAGACAGAGGUAAGCGGAACUGAUGGUGGAGCGGUGAAAUGCGUUGAUAUCAUCAGGAACACCAGUGGCGAAGGCGGCUUACUGGGUCUCUUCUGACGCUGAGGCACGAAAGCUAGGGGAGCGAACGGGAUUAGAUACCCCGGUAGUCCUAGCUGUAAACGAUGAGCACUUGAUCGGAGACUCCUCCAUAGGUUUCCGGUCGUAGCGAAAGUGUUAAGUGCUCCGCCUGGGGAGUAUGGUCGCAAGGCUG
rnacentral:rRNA from 1 species